UGGGGAAUUUUGGACAAUGGGGGCAACCCUGAUCCAGCAAUGCCGCGUGUGUGAAGAAGGCCUUCGGGUUGUAAAGCACUUUUGUCCGGAAAGAAAACGCCGUGGUUAAUACCCGUGGCGGAUGACGGUACCGGAAGAAUAAGCACCGGCUAACUACGUGCCAGCAGCCGCGGUAAUACGUAGGGUGCAAGCGUUAAUCGGAAUUACUGGGCGUAAAGCGUGCGCAGGCGGUCCGCUAAGACAGAUGUGAAAUCCCCGGGCUUAACCUGGGAACUGCAUUUGUGACUGGCGGGCUAGAGUAUGGCAGAGGGGGGUAGAAUUCCACGUGUAGCAGUGAAAUGCGUAGAGAUGUGGAGGAAUACCGAUGGCGAAGGCAGCCCCCUGGGCCAAUACUGACGCUCAUGCACGAAAGCGUGGGGAGCAAACAGGAUUCAGAUACCCUGGUAGUCCACGCCCUAAACGAUGUCAACUA
rnacentral:rRNA from 1 species